AGAGUAGACUGGAUGAUCGCGGACGAAAUGCCGAAAGGCUUCGUACGAGGAAAGUCCGGGCUCCGCAGGGCAGGGUGCCGGGUAAUACCCGGUGAAGGCGACUUCAAGGAAAGUGCAACAGAAAUAGACCGCCGAACCGGAGUUUCCGGUUCGGUAAGGAUGGAAAGGUGAGGUAAGAGCUCACCGGCCCCACGGCAACGGAGGGCGCUAUGUAAACCCCACCCGGAGCAACACCGUGACAAGGAACGUUAAGGUUGCCCGCCAGUUCCUUAGAGGUGGCUGAAGCCUUGUAGUAAUACAGGGCUUAGAUAGAUGAUCAUUCCAGACAGAACCCGGCUUACAGGUCUACUCGAAUA
rnacentral:RNase_P_RNA from 1 species